AACGAACGCUGGCGGCAUGCCUAACACAUGCAAGUCGAACGAGACCUUCGGGUCUAGUGGCGCACGGGUGCGUAACGCGUGGGAACCUGCCCUUAGGUUCGGAAUAACUCCCCGAAAGGGGUGCUAAUACCGGAUAAUGUCUUCGGACCAAAGAUUUAUCGCCUUUGGAUGGGCCCGCGUUGGAUUAGCUAGUUGGUAGGGUAAAAGCCUACCAAGGCGACGAUCCAUAGCUGGUCUGAGAGGAUGAUCAGCCACACUGGGACUGAGACACGGCCCAGACUCCUACGGGAGGCAGCAGUGGGGAAUAUUGGACAAUGAGCGAAAGCCUGAUCCAGCAAUGCCGCGUGUGUGAUGAAGGCCUUAGGGUUGUAAAGCUCUUUUACCCGGGAUGAUAAUGACAGUACCGGGAGAAUAAGCUCCGGCUAACUCCGUG
rnacentral:rRNA from 1 species